CAGCGCACAACUUUCUCGCGCAAGCGUAACUCCAAACUCACUGCUCACGGUGUCCGCGCAGGAAUGUGGUGUUGAAAACUCUUGUGUACGCCAAUUUAGCAUAAGUUACAUUGUUUGCCUGAAACUAUUUUUUUUGGAGAUACUGGAGAACGGAACAACUGUGUGUAAGUAGUCGGCUCCGUAUGUACUGUUGACAGCUGUGCGUAAAGUGACAGAAAGAGCGAGAAUCAUGAUGAAGAUCAGUCCUCAUUCACUCUUCCUCUUCGGUCCUUAAGAGACAGUCUGGAAUCAAAGCUUUGACGUCUCAGACAUCACAACGGCCAUAGAACAGAUAAAAGGGAGGGAGUUGAGCUCUUCCUCUGUGCAAGCUUCAUCAUCAUCCUCUCCAUCUGCAAUGGAGGUUGCCCUGUCUCAUCCUGCCCUGAAGGCCUUCAUGUGCGGCUCUCUCAGCGGCACCUGCUCCACUCUGCUGUUCCAGCCGUUGGAUCUGGUGAAGACCAGACUGCAGACCCUGCAGAACAACAUGCACCCAGGGUAAGACGCCACCAACCGA